rnacentral:rRNA from 1 species
GUCAUGGCUCAGAAUGAACGCUGGCGGCAUGGAUUAGGCAUGCAAGUCGAACGAGAAAGCGCCUUCGGGCGCGAGUAAAGUGGCGCAAGGGUGAGUAACACGUGAGGAACCUGCCCCCGAGCCCGGAACAAGCCUGGGAAACCGGGUCUGAAACCGGAUGAGGCCCCCCGGCCGCAUGGUCGGCGGGCCAAAUAUUCAUAGCUUGGGGAUGGCCUCGCGUCCCAUUAGCUUGUUGGCGGGGUGACGGCCCACCAAGGCGACGACGGGUAGGUGGUCUGAGAGGAUGGUCACCCACACUGGGACUGAGACACUGCCCAGACUCCUACGGGAGGCUGCAGUCGAGAAUCUUCCGCAAUGGGCGCAAGCCUGACGGAGCGAUGCCGCGUGAGGGACGAAGGCCCUAGGGUUGUAAACCUCUGUCGUCCGGGACGAAACCAAUGACGGUACCGGGCAAGAAAGCCACGGCUAACUACGUGCCAGCAGCAGC